ACUCCUACGGGAGGCAGCAGUGGGGAAUAUUGCACAAUGGGCGCAAGCCUGAUGCAGCCAUGCCGCGUGUAUGAAGAAGGCCUUCGGGUUGUAAAGUACUUUCAGCAGUGAGGAAGGCAGGUACGUUAAUAGCGUGCUUGUUUGACGUUAGCUGCAGAAGAAGCACCGGCUAACUCCGUGCCAGCAGCCGCGGUAAUACGGAGGGUGCGAGCGUUAAUCGGAAUUACUGGGCGUAAAGCGCAUGCAGGUGGUUUGUUAAGUCAGAUGUGAAAGCCCGGGGCUCAACCUCGGAAUUGCAUUUGAAACUGGCAGACUAGAGUACUGUAGAGGGGGGUAGAAUUUCAGGUGUAGCGGUGAAAUGCGUAGAGAUCUGAAGGAAUACCGGUGGCGAAGGCGGCCCCCUGGGACAGAUACUGACACUCAGAUGCGAAAGCGUGGGGAGCAAACAGGAUUAGAUACCCUGGUAGGAUAGC
rnacentral:rRNA from 1 species